AGGUUUCAAGCCCCAAACGGGGUCUGAGCUUUGCCAGUCGAUCUCGGUUUCUCCAGUGUAAUUUAAUAUUGACGAAAGUUAUCCAACGGAGGUCAAACUUCUGCCGCACAACGAAAAUUUGCGAUCAACCUUAUUUUUGACCUUGGCAGAGGACAUACAGUUGCCUCUGAAAUUCUAUGUCGUGGCCUGGAUAGGCACAGACAUAUCCAUAUCGGAUGUCUUCAAGGAAAAGGAUUGACACACACACACACACACUGAAUUCAACCGUAGCUACUAUUGCUAUUAUUAUUAUUUUUUUUUGCAUUUAAAUUUUGUACAUUAUAAUCUAAUCUAGGACACAUCAAUGCAUGCAGGCCUGUUGCAGCGAUGGAAAACCAAACGUUAGCACCAGAAUCUCUUGUAUGUGUUUAGCUGGAACAACUGAAAGAUCCCCCCCAUCCGACGAGCCCUAGCCGAAAGAUCCCACACAGUGCUAACCAUAACAUCUAUGCAAGUUGUCUAGUUUGUGGAAUGCGUCUCGAAAGCUACCACACCAGAACACCGGGACACAUUACAAAAGUGGCGCCCAACGUGGGGCACGAUACAACAACAACAGUA